rnacentral:rRNA from 1 species
GCAUGGGAACUUACCCAGUCCUGGGGGAUAGCCCGGGGAAACCCGGAUUAAUACCGCAUACGCCCUGAGGGGGAAAGCGGGCUCCGGCUCGCGCUAUUGGAUGGGCCCAUGUCGGAUUAUUUUGUUGGUGAGGUAAUGGCUUACCAAGGCGACGAUCCGUAGCUGGUCUGAGAGGAUGAUCAGCCACACCGGGACUGAGACACGGCCCGGACUCCUACGGGAGGCAGCACUGGGGAAUAUUGGACAGUGGGGGCAACCCUGAUCCAGCCAUGCCGCGUGUGUGAAGAACGCCCUAGGGUUGUAAAGCACUUUCCCCAAGGGAGGAAAAACUGUCUGUUAAAACCCGCCAA